CCUACGGGAGGCAGCAGUGAGGAAUAUUGGUCAAUGGGCGCUAGCCUGAACCAGCCAAGUAGCGUGAAGGAUGACUGCCCUAUGGGUUGUAAACUUCUUUUAUAUGGGAAUAAAGUGCAGUAUGUAUACUGCUUUGCAUGUACCUUAUGAAUAAGGAUCGGCUAACUCCGUGCCAGCAGCCGCGGUAAUACGGAGGAUCCGAGCGUUAUCCGGAUUUAUUGGGUUUAAAGGGAGCGUAGGCGGGUUGUUAAGUCAGUUGUGAAAGUUUGCGGCUCAACCGUAAAAUUGCAGUUGAUACUGGCAUCCUUGAGUACAGUAGAGGUAGGCGGAAUUCGUGGUGUAGCGGUGAAAUGCUUAGAUAUCACGCAGAACUCCGAUCGCGAAGGCAGCCUACCGGCGCGCAACUGACGCUCAUGCACGAAAGCGUGGGUAUCGAACAGGAUUAGAUACCCCAGUAGUC
rnacentral:rRNA from 1 species